rnacentral:lncRNA from 1 species
UUUUUAUACGACCGCAAAAAUUUAAAUUUUUUGGUCGUAUAUUGCUAUCACGUUGGCGUCGUCGUCGUCGUCUGCGUCGUCGUUGUCGUCGUCGUCGUCCGAAUACUUUUAGUUUUCGCACUCUAACUUUAGUAAAAGUGAAUAGAAAUCAAUGAAAUUUUAACACAAGGUUUAUGACCACAAAAGGAAGGUUGGGAUUGAUUUUGGGAGUUUUGGUCUCAACAUUUUAGGAAUUAGGGGCCAAAAAGGGCCCAAAUAAGCAUUUUCUUGGUUUUCGCACUAUAACUUUAGUUUAAGUGAAUAGAAAUCUAUGAAAUUUUGACACAAGGUUUAUGACCAAAAAGGAAGGUUGGGAUUGAUUUUGGGAGUUUUGGUUCCAACAGUUUAGGAAAUAAGGGCCAAAAAAGGGCCAAAAUAAGCAUUAUUCUUGGUUUUUGCACAAUAACUUUAGUAUAAGUAAAUAGAAAUCAAUGAAAUUUUAACACAAGGUUUAUGACCACAAAAGGAAGGUUGGGAUUGAUUUUGGGAUCACAACAGUUUAUGAAUUAGGGGCCAAAAAGGGGCCCAAAUAAGCAUUAUUUUUGGUUUUUGCACCAUAACUUUAGUAUAAGUAAUAGAAAUCUAUGAAAUUUAAACAUAAGGUUUAUGACCAUAAAAGGAAGGUUGGGUUUGAUUUUGGGAGUUUUGGUCCUAACAGUUUAGGAAUAAGGGGCCCAAAGGGUCCAAAAUUGAACUUUGUGUGAUUUCAUCAAAAAUUGAAUAAUUGAGGUUCUUUGAUAUGCCGAAUCUAACUAUGUAUGUAGAUUCUUAAUUUUUGGUCCCGUUUUCAAAUUGGUCUACAUUAAGGUCCAAAGGGUCCAAAAUUAAACUUAGUUUGAUUUUAACAAAAAUUGAAUCCUUGGGGUUCUUUGAUAUGCUGAAUUUAAAAAUGUACUUAGAUGUUUAAUUAUUGGCCUAGUUUUCAAGUUGGUCCAAAUGGGGGUCCAAAAUUAAACUUUGUUUGAUUUCAUCAAAAAUUGAAUAAAUGGAUUUUUUGAUAUGCCAAAUCUAACUGUGUAUGUAGAUUCUUAAUUUUUGGUCCAGUUUUCAAAUUGGUCUGCAUUAAGGUCCAAAGGGUCCAAAAUUAAACUAAGUUUGAUUUUCACAAAAAUUAAAUUCUUAGGCUUAUUUGAUAUGCUUUAUCUAAAUAUGUACUUUGAUUUUUGAUUAUGGGCCCAGUUUUGAAGUUGGUCCAAAUCAGGAUUCCAUAUCAAGUAUUGUGCAAUAGCAAGAAAUUUUCAAUUGCACAGUAUUGCACAUGUAUGUUGCUGAUGAAGUUUUUUUUUAUUGUUUUAUACAAUAAACAAUGUAUAUUCACUUUUACUACCAACCAAUCUUUACCAUUCAGUGAUAACAAGCACUUUAUUUUACAUUUUAAUAUUUUAUGAUGUAUUUAAAAGAGUAGUUAUUGUUGCAAACUCCAUUAGAAAUUUGAAUUGAUAUCAGUUUUGGAAAAAGGGAAAUGGGGAUGUAAAAAAAGGGGGGGGGGGUUUAAAUUUUUCUCAUUUCAGAUUUCAUAAAUAAAAAGAAAAUUUCUUCAAACAUUUUUUUGAGAGGAUUAAUAUUCAACAGCAUAGUGAAUUGCUCAAAGGCAAAAAAAAACUUUUAAGUUCAUUAGACCACAUUCGUUCUGUGUCAGAAACCUAUGCUGUGUCAUGAUCAACUAUUCAAUUUUAGAUUUAAAAAGUUUGAAGAAGAAAUCUUUAAUUGAUUUGUAAAAUCUUGACAUUUUUGACAUUUGUUUUGUGUAAAAAAAAACCCAUGUAAUGUCAAAAAUUUGAUCACAAUCCAAAUUCAGAGCUGUAUCACGCUUGAAUGUUUUGUCCAUACUUGCCCCAACUGUUCAGGGUUCGACCUCUGCGGUCGUAUCAAGAUGCGCCCUGCGGAGCACCUGGUUGACAUUUACAAUAGAAAAUAGCUGUUGGGUUCAGAAAUUGUUGUAAUUAUUAAGGUUCUCCAGAUCUGGUGUAUUAAUAAUAUAUUUGUCAUUUGUAAAGUCUUGAAAGUAUAUUAAAUGAAGUAUGAUAGAAAAUGAGAAAAAAGAAAUAAAAAAAAAAAAAUCAACUUUCAAGGAAUAAAUUUGAACACUUUGGUUAGAUAUUACAUUUCUUAUUAAUAAUAAAGAAUUAGUGCAGACACGAAAAGAUAACUCUUACCACGUGUAGAAGAAAUCUGAUUUAAAACAUAAAUGAACAAAAUAUGAAAAUAAAGAAUUUACUAUUGUCUUCCAAUCUUUCGGAUAUUAAAGUUUUAAUGAAGAGUAGCUUUUAUUAGUGACGUUGGGUUGACAAACUCCGAAACAGUGGUGACAUCUGGCUACGCUUCUUUGUAGAUAAAGGGACGAAGUAUGACCAGAACGAUAACAAUGUAUGGAGUUUACCGAAAUGAGUGAUACGGGUGCUUCGUAACACCUCCAGUCCCUGCAUGCUAAACAUUUGUUUGGCAUCGUUGUUUGGCUGGUAUGCAUUAUUGUUACAGGUGUAUAUAUGAACUGUAUCAAAUAACUAUUUAUUGAUAAUAUGGUUAAAGUGUAAAUGUAUAACAGAUUUUUUAAUUACUGAUUUCCAGACUUCUAAUAUAAAAAAGGAGAAUGACAUUAUUAAUUGGGCAAUUAUACCACCGCUUUUAUUACCAUAUUACGAUUAGAAAAAAGCGUGUUUGUUCUUCAACAAUGAAAUUUUCAAAUUAGCAGACAUAUAAUUGUAUAUACGCUGACAGAAUUAUUACUAAAAGUGCAAUCUAAUUACUAAAUGUGCGACUAUACAUAAACGAUGUCCCCACACUUCCCAGUAUUGUGUUUUUUGUCAGAGAUCUAGAGUUUUCCCCAAUUUUGUUGUAUUUAAAAACAAUAAAUUCUUUAAUUCAUGUCGGCUUUAUAAAAUCUAACUUUCAAUAGAAAGUCAGUUGUUAGUUGCCAUGUACUAGUUAUAAGUAGACGCUGCUUUGUUAUAUGUAAGCAAUACUCAACGAUUGACAAAACACAACAAUUUACAUUUUUAUUUUCGAAGAUGUAAGGUAUUACACAUUUUUAACUUCAUUUUUAGCUAUAUAUGAUGUUCUCGCACUACAUAAUUCAAAAUUUGGUGCCUGUGUUGAACGCAUCUAACCCAUUGAACUUAAGAUAAAGAAUACAACAAAUUCAUUUCAAGUUUGCCUCAUAUCUUGAAAUUAUAGGAAUGAUCGUUUGAAAACAAACUUUACGACAAAAGAGAUGAUUCUAAUUAUGAACUUUCCUUUUCUAUAUAUAUCAACAUUCCAGCAGCGGCUGCAUUUGGAGAAUAUAUAUUUUUAAGUUGAUAAGAUAUUCUUGGGUUUAAAUUUUACUAUCAUUAUUUCAUUGAAAGAGGGUUGCUGCUCUCAAAGAAGCUAUUAAACCAAGAGUUCAAAGUGGCGAUGUUGAAAUCAUCCCGUCGUUAUUUUACUGUCGCCAUCACGAGUUGGUUGACCGUUAUGGAAUAUCUGUUUUUAUACGACCGCAAAAAUUGAAAAAAAUUUGGUCGUAUAUUGGUAUCACGUUGGCGUCAGCGUCGUCGUCGUCGUCGUCGUCCGAAUACUUUUGGUUUUCGCACUAUAACUUUAGUUUAAGUAAAUAGAAAUGUAUGAAUUUAAACACAAAGUUUAUGACCAUAAAAGGAAGGUUGGGAUUGAUUGUGGAAGUGUUGGUCCCUACAGUUUAGGAAUUAGGUGCCAAAAAGGGCCCAAAUAAGCAUUUUCUAGGUUUUCGCACUAUAGCUUUAGUUGAAGUAAAUAGAAAUCAAUGAUAUUUUGACACAAAGUUUAUGACCACAAAAGGAAGGUUGGGAUUGAUUUUGGGUGUGUUGGUUCCAACUGUUUAGGAAUAAGGGGCCAAAAAAAGGGCCCAAAAUAAGCAUUAUUAUGGGUUUUUGCACAAUAACUUUAGUAUAAGUAAAUAGAAAUCAUUGAAAUUUAAACACAAGAUUUAUCAACACAAAAGGAAGGUUGGGAUUGAUUUUGGGAGUUGCUAUCCCAACAGUUUAGGAAUUGGGGACCAAAAAGGGGCCGAAAUAAGCAUUUUUCUUGUUUUUCGCACCAUAACUUUAAUAUAAGUAAAUAGAAAACUAUGAAAUUUAAUCACAAGGUUUAUGACAAUAAAAGGAAGGUUGGGAUUGAUUUUGGGAGUUUUGGUCCCAACAGUUUAGGAAUAAGGGGCCCAAAGGGUCCAAAAUUAAACUUUGUUUGAUUUCAUCAAAAAUUGAAUAAUUGGGGUUCUUUGAUAUGCAAAAUCUAACUGUGUAUGUUGAUUUUUAAUUUUUGGUCCUGUUUUCAAGUUGGUCUACAUUAAAGUGCAAAGGGUCCAAAAUUAAACUAAGUUUGAUUUUAACAAAAAUUGAAUUCUUGGGCUUCUUUAAUAUGCUGAAUCUAAACAUGUACUUAGAUAUUUGAUUAUAGCCCAGUUUUCAAGUUGGUCCAAAUCAGGAUCCAAAAUUAUUAUAUUAAGUAUUGUGCAAUAGCAAGAAAUUUUCAAUUGCACAGUAUUCAGCAAUAGCAAGAAAUCUUCAAUUGCACAAUAUUGUGCAAUAGCAAGAAAUUUUCAAUUGCACAGUAUUGCGCAAUAGCAAGAAAUCUUCAAUGCACAGUAUUGUGCAAUAACAAGUAUUUUCAAUUGCACAGUAUUGCGCAAUAGCAAGAAAUAUCUAAUUGCACACUAUUGCGCAAUAGCAAGAAAUUUUCAAUUGGGAGUUAUAUUUCUUUGUCCAGAAUAGUAGUUGAAUCAACUUAAAUCAUGGUUUUACACAAUAUACAAUGUAUAUUCACUUUUACUACCAACUGAUAAAUUAAAACAAUCUUUACCAUAACAAGCACUUUUUUACAUUUUAAUAUUUUAUGAUGUAUUUAAAUGAGUAGUUAUUGUUGCAAACUCCAUUUGAAAUUUGAAUUGAGAUCGGUUUUUGAAUAAGGGAAAGGAGGAUGUGAAAAAAAUAAUUGUGGGGGGAGGGGUGUUCAAUUUUUUAUACGACCGCAAAUUUUGAAAAAAUUUUCGUCGUAUAUUGCUAUCACGUUGGCGUCGGCGUCGUCGUCGUCGUCGUCGUCGUCGUCGUCGUCGUCGUCGUCGUCCGGCGUCCGAAUACUUUUAGUUUUCGCACUCUAACUUUAGUAAAAGUGAAUAGAAAUCUAUAAAAUUUUAACACAAGGUUUAUGACCAUAAAAGGAAGGUUGGUAUUGAUUUUGGGAGUUUUGGUCCCAACAUUUUAGGAAUAAAGGGCCAAAAAGGGCCCAAAUAAGCAUUUUCUUGGUUUUCGCACCAUAACUUUAGUUUAAGUUAAUAGAAAUCUAUGAAAUUUUGACACAAGGUUUAUGACCACAAAAGAAAGAUUGGGAUUGAUUUUGGGAGUUUUGGUUUCAAUAGUUUAGGAAUAAGGGGCCAAUAAAGGGCCCAAAUAAGCAUUUUUCUUGGUUUUUGCACAAUAACCUUAGGUUAAGUAAAUGGAAAUCUAUGAAAUUUAAACACAAUGUUUAUGACCACAAAAGGAAGGUUUGGUAUUGAUUUUGGGAGUUAAGGACCCAACAGAUUAGGAAUUAGGGGCCAAAAAGGGACCCAAAUAAGCAUUUUUCUUGGUUUUCGCACUAUAAUGUUAGUAUAAGUAAAUACAAAUCUAUGAAAUUUAAACACAAGGCUUAUGACCAUAAAAGGAAGGUUGAUAUUGAUUUUGGGAGUUUUGGUCCCAACAGUUUAGGAAAAAGGGGCCCAAAGGGUCCAAAAUUAAACUUUGUUUGAUUUCAUCAAAAUUGAAUAAUUGGGGUUCUUUGAUAUGCCGAAUCUAACUGUAUAUGUAGAUUCUCAACUUUUGGUCCCGUUUUCAAAUUGGUCUACAUUAAGG